rnacentral:lncRNA from 1 species
UUUUUUUUUUUUCCCGGGGAGUCGGCCUCGGGGCUCUGCUCUCCUACCUCAGUCUGCCCUACCCUGGAAUGGGGAAAAUGCGGACAUGCCACUCAGUCCGGCCGCGAACAGUGCUCCAGAACUCAGAGAGUUUUCCAGACGGGUGGAGAUCGCGUUCCCUGCCCGCCGAGGUCCCAUCGCUUCCCUGCUGGGAAGACAAAUGAGGCGCUUUAGCCGUCUCCACGGCCAGCCCCUCCCUCAUAACCCGAGAUUCUUUGUGGGCUCUUAGUCCAUAGCUGCCUUUGAGGUGGUGUAGACCUUGCUAACCAGGACGGCCCAGUAGGCAGAGCUCAUUUUUAUUCCUGUCUGCAAUCGUGCAAAAACGCCUCUUAUGGAAAAGCCAGAGCGCCAGGAGUCAGCAAAACACACUAAAGAUUGGGCAGUCACUGGGGAGAACAUGGCCUGAAGCAACUGAAGAUCCACAAAAGAAGUGAAAAUAGCCUUAACUGAUGACAUUCCACCAUUGAGAUUUGUUCCUGCCCCACCCUAACUGAUACGAUAUAUUCUCCCCCGCCCUUAAGAAGACUCAGCCCGCCUGCACCCAGGUGAAAUAUACAGCCUUGUUGCUCACACAAAGCCUGUUUGGUGGUUUCUUCACACGGAUGCAUGUGACAUUUGGUGCUGAAGACCCAGGACAGGAGGACUCCUUUGGGAGACCAGUGCCCUGUUGUCGCCCUCACUCCGUGAGGAGAUCCACCUAUGAUCUCAGGUCCUCAGACCAACCAGCCCAAGGAACAUCUUGCCAAUUUCAAAUCGGAUAGGAGUGUCAGGCCUCUGAGUCCAAGCUAAGCCAUCAAAUCCCCUGUGACCUGCACGUGUACAUCCAGAUGACCUGAAGCAACUGAAGAUCCACAAAAGAAGUGAAAGUAGCCUUAACUGAUGACAUUCCACCAUUGUGAUUUGUUCCUGCCCCACGCUAACUGAUACCAUAUAUUCUUCCCCCGCCCUUGAGAAUGUACUUUGUACACCUAUCCCAAACCUAUAAGAACUAAUGAUAAUCCUACCACCCUUUGCUGACUCUCUUUUUGGACUCAGCCCGCCUGCACCCAGGUGAAAUAAACAGCCCUGUUG